AGGAGAUCUUCGGAUUCUCUAAACAACAUCAUUUAUCCAGUUAACCACUAAGAACAGGGCCUUUCUCUGAAUCUGACGGAAGUCGAAGAUUUCUUCCAGUGAGCCUGAGGGCCGGCGUCUGCUUCGUCGUCUCAUGAAUCGCAGAUCUGUAAGAUAAGAGAAAGAAAGGGAUACAGGAGUCCCAGUCUCUCUGAUUCUGCACUACGAAGGAUGACAAAUACUGUAGCAAGAAUGGGUUAUUGGGAGAGGUCCGAGAAUGUCCAUGGCUAUGCUUCCAAAU